AGUGAACGCUGGCGGUAGGCCUAACACAUGCAAGUCGAACGGCAGCACAGUAAGAGCUUGCUCUUACGGGUGGCGAGUGGCGGACGGGUGAGGAAUACAUCGGAAUCUACUUUUUCGUGGGGGAUAACGUAGGGAAACUUACGCUAAUACCGCAUACGACCUACGGGUGAAAGCAGGGGAUCUUCGGACCUUGCGCGAUUGAAUGAGCCGAUGUCGGAUUAGCUAGUUGGCGGGGUAAAGGCCCACCAAGGCGACGAUCCGUAGCUGGUCUGAGAGGAUGAGCAGCCACACUGGAACUGAGACACGGUCCAGACUCCUACGGGAGGCAGCAGUGGGGAAUAUUGGACAAUGGGCGCAAGCCUGAUCCAGCCAUACCGCGUGGGUGAAGAAGGCCUUCGGGUUGUAAAGCCCUUUUGUUGGGAAAGAAAAGCAGCAGGUUAAUACCCCGCUGUUCUGACGGUACCCAAAGAAUAGGCACCGGCUAACUUCGUG
rnacentral:rRNA from 1 species